UACGAAGGGGGGCUAGCGUUGCUCGGAAUCACUGGGCGUAAAGCGCACGUAGGCGGCUUUCUAAGUCAGGGGUGAAAUCCUGGAGCUCAACUCCAGAACUGCCUUUGAUACUGAAGAUCUUGAGUUCGGGAGAGGUGAGUGGAACUGCGAGUGUAGAGGUGAAAUUCGUAGAUAUUCGCAAGAACACCAGUGGCGAAGGCGACUACCUGGCCUGUUCUUGACGCUGAGGCGCGAAAGCUAGGGGAGCAAACGGGG
rnacentral:rRNA from 1 species